rnacentral:rRNA from 1 species
CAGCCGCCGCGGGAACACGAAGGGGGCUAGCGUUGUUCGGAAUUACUGGGCGUAAAGCGCACGUAGGCGGAUCGAUCAGUCAGGGGUGAAAUCCCAGGGCUCAACCCUGGAACUGCCUUUGAUACUGUCGAUCUGGAGUAUGGAAGAGGUGAGUGGAAUUCCGAGUGUAGAGGUGAAAUUCGUAGAUAUUCGGAGGAACACCAGUGGCGAAGGCGACUGACUGGACAAGUAUUGACGCUGAGGUGCGAAAGCGUGGGGAGCAAACAGGAUUAGAUACCCGAGUAGUCCCUGUCUCUUAUAC